UAUUGAUUGUAAUUUUUCUUUAAAGUUUUUUAUCGAUUUCAUCGUUUCCAAUAGACAAGCAGACGAAUUUGUGACAUUAGAACGAAAGAUUCGAUACGUGUUAAGCGGGAGCUAAUAAAUGUUCGCGUUCCGUUUUAAUCAUUCUUUUGGCUACUCGUUAACCCCCAGAAAUUUGAAAUUUUUUAAUAACAAACCUGAAGGGCACUCUUUUUCACGACACACGAUUGUUUGAAGGUUUAUUUUCACUAGACAUAGAUAGUCAUUUGAAUGGUGCAGUUCCUAUCCUCAGCCCUACAGUGUGCAAAAAUAGAUUGUGGAAAAAACUGCCCAUGCUGAAUCUGCACAAUGCUGGCUUCAUGACUACACAGCAUUAAAAGACUCUUCCCUUAAGGAAGUAGCUGUGGACUUUCUUUAGAUGACUCUUGUAUCAGAAAUAUUUUCCUGCUUCUUGGAACAAGGAACAUAGGAUGCCUUGAUGCCAAUGAAGUGUCAUUGGAAAGAUUGUAAAAAAAUGUUAAGCAGGAGAAACCUAAAGUUGGAGGAUGAUACAUUUGUUUCCCAUUACUAGUUUUGUAAAACAAAUGGUAAAUUGGUAAAAAAAAACAUGUCACCUAUUACUUUAAAUAAAUUGUUUUCAAAAGUGGAGAUUAAUUCCAAAUCUUCAGCUUCCCAGGCAGACACCCAUCCACAAAGCCAUGGGUGAUAGAUGAUAUUCACAGCGGCACGACUGCGUUGUAAAUUGGAAUCACUUUUAUAAAGCCAAACAGGUAUAACAAAAAUAGCAUUUAAAAAUUUUUUUGUAUAGAAUUAUGAUGACUCGGCUAUUAAGUAAUGAAAUCGAAUUUUUAAGUUUUGUUACGUUUGAAAGUUACCCAAGAUUAUCGUAUCUCAUUGUUAUUCAUCAUAUAUGUCUGUGUAAUUCAUUGCUGGGAAACUAUAUUACAUGGACUUGUUGUGUCAGUGUUAUAAUACUAUGUGUUGAAACAUGUUUUACUGCCUGUCCUCCGUGAUUGGAGCAGCAAUGUGCCUAACUGACCUGAGGAAAUGAAACAACUGUUGCGUCAUCUAGCGGUCAAGAUUCAAACCUUUAGGAAACCCCACUCACUGGAGGAGGAGUUAAAUUUUCGGUUGCUAGUUGUUGAUUAUUUUCAGCAAAAAAAUAAUAAUAAAUGGCACUACACGAGGUGCUGAAAAAAAGGGAGAUUGGAAAUGACAAAGAAAUGAGUUCUGUUCUUCGCCUCAUUUUUGCCUCAUCGUCAUCAAGCUGAUCGUCUUCGCUUCGCCAUCCUCGCUUCACCGUCCUCGCUUCACCGUCUUCACCUCGCCGUCUUCACCUCGCCACACCGUCUUCGCUUUGCCUUCUUCAAAUUGAUCGUCUUCGCCUCGCCGUCUUCGCCUCGCCGUCUUCGCCUCGCCGUCUUCGCCUCGCCGUCUUCGCCUCGCCGUCUUCGCCUCGCCGUCUUCGACUCGCCGUCUUCGACUCGCCGUCUUCGACUCGCCGUCUUCGCCUCAUCGUCUUCGAUCGCGCCCGUCUUCGUCUCAUCGCUGUCAUCGUGGAAACUCGCGUUUUUGGUAGUUUGUUUUGUUUUGUUUUGUAUUGGUGUAUAGUGUAUGUUUAAAGUUAACCCGUUGGCUGCCACCCAUUUUGCUCCCCUUUUUUUUUAGGUGUAGGGACCGGCGGCGCUGUUCUGCCUCAUGGUUGAUCACCCAUGGGGUGGGGCAGUCGCCUUGCGCCUUAGGGCGCCGUAGGCAAUGCACCAGUAGGGACUUCCCCUUGUCGAUGCGAUGGUGGAGUACCUGGGGUGUGCAUUCCCGUAAAGGUCUCCAUCGUCAAGUCAGCCCGGACUUGUCUUCGGACAAGUCCCCCUUUCAUCGGAUCCCUCUGAAACGAUGCGUAGUAACUGUA